CCUGGGUACGGCCGCAAGGUUAAAACUCAAAUGAAUUGACGGGGGCCCGCACAAGCGGUGGAGCAUGUGGUUUAAUUCGAUGCAACGCGAAGAACCUUACCUGGUCUUGACAUCCACAGAACUUUCCAGAGAUGGAUUGG
rnacentral:rRNA from 1 species